rnacentral:rRNA from 1 species
AAUAGAUACCCAGGUAGUCCACCCCGUAAACGUUGGGAACUAGUUGUGGGGUCCAUUCCACGGAUUCCGUGACGCAGCUAACGCAUUAAGUUCCCCGCCUGGGGAGUACGGCCGCAAGGCUAAAACUCAAAGGAAUUGACGAGGACCCGCACAAGCGGCGGAGCAUGCGGAUUAAUUCGAUGCAACGCGAAGAACCUUACCAAGGCUUGACAUAUAGAGGAAACGGCUGGAAACAGUCGCCCCGCAAGGUCUCUAUACAGGUGGUGCAUGGUUGUCGUCAGCUCGUAUCGUGAGAUGUUGGGUUAAGUCCCGCAACGAGCGCAACCCUCGUUCUAUGUUGCCAGCACGUAAUGGUGGGAACUCAUGGGAUACUGCCGGGGUCAACUCGGAGGAAGGUGGGGAUGACGUCAAAUCAUCAUGCCCCUUAUGUCUUGGGCUUCACGCAUGCUACAAUGGCCGGUACAAAGGGCUGCAAUACCGUAAGGUGGAGCGAAUCCCAAAAAGCCGGUCCCAGUUCGGAUUGAGGUCUGCAACUCGA